rnacentral:lncRNA from 1 species
GUAGAACUUAAAUUUAUAUUUUAUUACAUAUGAAAUUACAACUUCACCAACGAAGUCGCUUCAUUAUACAUCUAUCUCAAUUAAAUUAACGGUUUUUUUUUUUUUUCAUUUUUGGUGUUUUGAAUAAAAUUGGGGUCUUUAAAAUUUACAAAUUACAUUAAAAUUUGAAGUUUGAUUUAUUUUUAUUUUUUUCUUUAGCUUUAAUUAUACUAAAUCGGCUUUAAUUUUUAUGUAAUUUGUGAAAACCUGAAUAUCCCGGACCAAAAGUAGCAUUAGUCCGAUAUGGCUAGCUAGCUCGGAAAUCGAGUGCGUUGGCUUAAUUAACCGAAAAAUCAUCUUAUUACAUGAUUGUCAUACUUUAUUACUUUAAUUCUAAAUUUGAUCAUAAUAAGAUUUUAAUACUUGUUUUUGUUUUCUCCAUUGCCCAAAAAAAAAAA